rfam:Helianthus annuus linkage group 17, whole genome shotgun sequence.
UCACUUACCUGGACGGGGUAAAUGGGCGAUCAAGAAGGUCCAUGUCCUAGGUUGGUGACCUCCAUUGCACUUUGGAGGGGUGCCCGCCUAAGGUCGGCCCAAGUGGUCGAGCCUACGUCAUAAUUUGUGGCAGUGAGGGCCUGCGUUCGCGCGGCCCUCAC